rnacentral:rRNA from 1 species
GACGAACGCUGGCGGCGUGCUUAACACAUGCAAGUCGAACGGAAACGCCCUGCUUUUGUGGGCUGCUCGGGUGGCGAACGGGUGAGUAACACGUGAGUAACCUGCCCUUGACUUUGGGGUAACUUCAGGAAACUGGGGCUAAUACCGGAUAGGAUCUCCUGCUGCAGGGUGGGCGUUGGAAAGUUUCGGCGGUUGGGGAUGGACUCGCGGCUUAUCAGCUUGUUGGUUGGGUAGUGGCUUACCAAGGCUUGGAAGGGUAGCCGGCCUGAGAGGGUGACCGGCCCCAUUGGGACUGAGAUACGGCCCAGACUCGAAUGGGAGGCAGCAGUGGGGAAUAGUAUACAAUGGGCGGGAGCCUGAUGCGACAACGCCGCGUGCGGGAAGACGUCCUGCGGGUUGUGAACCGCAUUCGCCUGUGACGAAGCGUGAGUGACGGUAAUGGGUAAAGAAGCACCGGCUAACUACGUG